UGCGCAGGCGGUUCGUCGCGUGGGUGGUGAAAUCUCCUGGCUCAACUGGGAGGGGGCCAUCCAAACGGGCGGACUUGAGGCGUGGAGAGGGACGUGGAAUUCCGGGUGGAGCGGUGAAAUGCGUAGAGAUCCGGAGGAACACCGACGGCGAAGGCAGCGUCCUGGCCACGACCUGACGCUCAGGCACGAAAGCUGGGGGAGCAAACAGGAUUAGAUACCCUGGUAGUCCCAGCUAGUAAACGAUGUCCACCAGGUGCUGGAGGUAUCCGACCCCUUCGGUGCCGAAGCUAACGUGAUGAGUGGACCGCCUGGGGAGUACGGCCGCAAGGUUAAA
rnacentral:rRNA from 1 species